rnacentral:ncRNA from 1 species
AUCGUUUGGGGAGCUUGUGAACAGGCUGAGAGGAAGAUAAAAGUCUUCGACCCUGGAACCUGAUUUAGAUAAUACUAACGUAGGGAAUUGACUU